rnacentral:rRNA from 1 species
AAAUUGAAGAGUUUGAUCAUGGCUCAGAUUGAACGCUGGCGGCAGGCCUAACACAUGCAAGUCGAACGGUAACAGGAAACAGCUUGCUGUUUCGCUGACGAGUGGCGGACGGGUGAGUAAUGUCUGGGAAACUGCCUGAUGGAGGGGGAUAACUACUGGAAACGGUAGCUAAUACCGCAUAAUGUCGCAAGACCAAAGAGGGGGACCUUCGGGCCUCUUGCCAUCGGAUGUGCCCAGAUGGGAUUAGCUAGUAGGUGGGGUAACGGCUCACCUAGGCGACGAUCCCUAGCUGGUCUGAGAGGAUGACCAGCCACACUGGAACUGAGACACGGUCCAGACUCCUACGGGAGGCAGCAGUGGGGAAUAUUGCACAAUGGGCGCAAGCCUGAUGCAGCCAUGCCGCGUGUAUGAAGAAGGCCUUCGGGUUGUAAAGUACUUUCAGCGGGGAGGAAGGGAGUAAAGUUAAUACCUUUGCUCAUUGACGUUACCCGCAGAAGAAGCACCGGCUAACUCCGUGCCAGCAGCCGCGGUAAUACGGAGGGUGCAAGCGUUAAUCGGAAUUACUGGGCGUAAAGCGCACGCAGGCGGUUUGUUAAGUCAGAUGUGAAAUCCCCGGGCUCAACCUGGGAACUGCAUCUGAUACUGGCAAGCUUGAGUCUCGUAGAGGGGGGUAGAAUUCCAGGUGUAGCGGUGAAAUGCGUAGAGAUCUGGAGGAAUACCGGUGGCGAAGGCGGCCCCCUGGACGAAGACUGACGCUCAGGUGCGAAAGCGUGGGGAGCAAACAGGAUUAGAUACCCUGGUAGUCCACGCCGUAAACGAUGUCGACUUGGAGGUUGUGCCCUUGAGGCGUGGCUUCCGGAGCUAACGCGUUAAGUCGACCGCCUGGGGAGUACGGCCGCAAGGUUAAAACUCAAAUGAAUUGACGGGGGCCCGCACAAGCGGUGGAGCAUGUGGUUUAAUUCGAUGCAACGCGAAGAACCUUACCUGGUCUUGACAUCCACGGAAGUUUUCAGAGAUGAGAAUGUGCCUUCGGGAACCGUGAGACAGGUGCUGCAUGGCUGUCGUCAGCUCGUGUUGUGAAAUGUUGGGUUAAGUCCCGCAACGAGCGCAACCCUUAUCCUUUGUUGCCAGCGGUCCGGCCGGGAACUCAAAGGAGACUGCCAGUGAUAAACUGGAGGAAGGUGGGGAUGACGUCAAGUCAUCAUGGCCCUUACGACCAGGGCUACACACGUGCUACAAUGGCGCAUACAAAGAGAAGCGACCUCGCGAGAGCAAGCGGACCUCAUAAAGUGCGUCGUAGUCCGGAUUGGAGUCUGCAACUCGACUCCAUGAAGUCGGAAUCGCUAGUAAUCGUGGAUCAGAAUGCCACGGUGAAUACGUUCCCGGGCCUUGUACACACCGCCCGUCACACCAUGGGAGUGGGUUGCAAAAGAAGUAGGUAGCUUAACCUUCGGGAGGGCGCUUACCACUUUGUGAUUCAUGACUGGGGUGAAGUCGUAACAAGGUAACCGUAGGGGAACCUGCGGUUGGAUCACCUCCUUACCUUAAAGAA